rnacentral:lncRNA from 1 species
ACCAACCUGAAACUGGAAAAGGAGGUCUGAACUGUUUCCAGAGGGAGCAGAAUUGGGGUCGGGACAAAUAGAAUGUCUGCAGGCUCUCACCGGUGGGCUCGCACCCACCCUCCCACACCAGAAGGAAAUGCACAAAGGCCUAUUUUCUGACUUCCCAUUUCCCCCCUGGGGAAACCCUGCCUCAGGCAGUCUGAGUCAGGCCGUAUAACUGGUUGGGUUUUGCCCAAGGGUGCGUGAAGUAGGGUAGGUGACCAGGACAGACUCCCAUAGCCCAUAGCUCUGCCUUUGAGGAUGCUAUCAGAGGAGAACUUUGUGCAGUACCCGAAGGCGGUCACCAGAAGCAAGGAGUUCUAGGUUUUGGAGCGUCAGGGAGAACGAGGGAGAACCACUAACUGACACCUGGGAAAUCCCUGCAAAAUAGUGGAAGUGAAAGAUGGUGGGAGGGCAUGGAAGAGCAAAGUACAGCGUCAAACUCGACAGUCUCAGCCCAGGGAGGCUCGGUGGCCGCAAACAGCGCCUGCCUCCGGGUCUGCAGCAGCAGUCAUAGCAGCAGCAGAAGCAGCAGCAGCGGGAUCCGAAAGUCCGGCGGGGCUGAGGGCCCAGAAAGAAGAAGAAGGUCCUGGCUGCUCAGCUACUUGGUGGCCCCCAUCCUGGCAAGCCGAUGA